rnacentral:rRNA from 1 species
GACGAACGCUGGCGGCGUGCUUAACACAUGCAAGUCGAACGGAAAGGCCCUGCUUUUGUGGGGUGCUCGAGUGGCGAACGGGUGAGUAACACGUGAGUAACCUGCCCUUGACUUUGGGAUAACUUCAGGAAACUGGGGCUAAUACCGGAUAGGAGCUCCUGCUGCAUGGUGGGGGUUGGAAAGUUUCGGCGAUUGGGGAUGGACUCGCGGCUUAUCAGCUUGUUGGUGGGGUAGUGGCUUACCAAGGCUUUGACGGGUAGCCGGCCUGAGAGGGUGACCGGCCACAUUGGGACUGAGAUACGGCCCAGACUCCUACGGGAGGCAGCAGGGGGGAAUAUUGCACAAGGGGCGGAAGCCUGAUGCAGCAACGCCGCGUGCGGGAUGACGGCCUUCGGGUUGUAACCCGCUUUCGCCUGUGACGAAGCGGGAGUGACGGUAAGGGGUAAAGAAGCACCGGCUAACUACGUG